ACGGGAGGCAGCUGUGAGGAAUAUUGGUCAAUGGACGCAAGUCUGAACCAGCCAUGCCGCGUGCAGGAAUAAGGCCCUAUGGGUCGUAAACUGCUUUUGUGGUGGAGCAAUAAGUCGUACGUGUACGACGAUGAGAGUACAUCACGAAUAAGCAUCGGCUAACUCCGUGCCAGCCGCCGCGGUAAUACGGAGGAUGCAAGCGUUAUCCGGAUUUAUUGGGUUUAAAGGGUGCGUAGGCUGUGGUCCAAGUCAGGGGUGAAAGCCCGGCGCUUAACGCCGGGACUGCCUUUGAUACUGGAUUGCUGGAAUACGGAUGCCGUGGGAGGAAUGAGUAGUGUAGCGGUGAAAUGCAUAGAUAUUACUCAGAACACCGAUUGCGAAGGCAGCCCACGAAUCCGUCAUUGACGCUGAGGCACGAAAGCGUGGGGAUCAAACAGGAUUAGAUACCCUGGUA
rnacentral:rRNA from 1 species